CUCUGUUCCCCCAUGCUGGCUGUUUCUCCGCGUCCCCCAGUCUUCACUGCCCACAUAGCCUAGAGGGUGAACCCAGGGUCCUGCACAGAAGAGAAGGGCUGGACCACCCAAACACAUGCACCCCCUUUCCCUCUGCCCUACCCCAGCUGGCCUGAGGCUGGACAGGGUCCAGGAGCCCACUGGUGCUGCCUACCCCUGCUCCACAUGGCCCCUCCACUUCCCUUGGUCCAGAGGCACAGCCCCCAGG
rnacentral:lncRNA from 1 species